AGCGAACGCUGGCGGCAGGCUUAACACAUGCAAGUCGAACGCAUCCUUCGGGGUGGGUGGCGGACGGGUGAGUAACACGGGGGAACGUACCCUUCGAUCUGGGAUAACUUCGGGAAACUGGAGCUAAUACCGGAUACGCUCUUUUGGGGGAAGGUUUACUGUCGAAGGAUCGGCCCGCGUCCGAUUAGCUAGUUGGUGGGGUAACGGCCUACCAAGGCGAGGAUCAGUAGCUGGUCUGAGAGGAUGAGCAGCCACACUGGGACUGAGACACGGCCCAGACUCCUACGGGAGGGAGCAGUGGGGAAUAUUGGACAACGGGCGCAAGCCUGAUCCAGCCAUGCCGGGUGAGUGAUGAAGGCCUUAGGGUUGUAAAGCUCUUUUGUCCGGGACGAUAAUGACGGUACCGGAAGAAUAAGCCCCGGCUAACUUCGUG
rnacentral:rRNA from 1 species